rnacentral:tRNA from 2 species
GCGGGGUAGCUCAGUUGGUUAGAGCGGUGGAAUCAUAAUCCAUGUGUCGAGAGUUCGAAUCUCCCCCUCGC